UGAGCAAUCUGCCCUUCUCAUCGGAAUAAGCGUUGGAAACGACGUCUAAUGCCGAAUACGACCUCCUUUCGCAUGAUCGGAGGUGGAAAGCUCCGGCGGAGAAGGAUGAGCUCGCGGCCUAUCAGCUAGUUGGUGUGGGUAACGCCCACCAAGGCGACGACGGGUAGCCGGCCUGAGAGGGUGACCCGGCCACACGUGGGACUGAGACACGGCCCAGACCUCCGUACGGGGAGGNAGCG
rnacentral:rRNA from 1 species